UGAUAAUAGGCUAUAUAUCUUCAUGAAUGAAUGUAUGAAAUACACGCAGGGAAAUCAGUUCCAUCAUCUAAGAGCCUUUGAUCUUGGGCCUUUGUUAGUUCAUUGCCACGGAUUUUGAGUGAUUUGGGAAGGAUGCCCUGUGAGACUCGCCCGAAUUUGGUGUAAACCUCAAAGGACCACCUUGCGGAGAGCGAUAAGACGGUAUCAGUGAGCCAGCGACCCCGGGUUCAUCCAUCAGACAGGGAUGAGAGCCAUUGGGUGUAGCUAGUGCUUUUCGGCAGACACUACCACCAUGACGAGCUUUCCCACACAUUUCCUCAACCCAAUAUAAAUCUGCUCUAUUUACUCGCAUUAUUUCCAGGUGAUAAUAAUAUAAACACCCAGCCCGACAACAUUAAAUUGACCUUUUCAAGAUGCAGAGCAGACUAUAACCAUCUCAUGAUGGGCUCAAAUUGACCCUUCACACUUGAGGAAAGGGGUUGUUCUGUUCCACGCCUGUUGUUUCUAGACUCGUGAUCCGAUGAUGAUCUUCAUUACCUGUCACGAUUCUCAGUGCUCAAGGACGAACUAGUCGUGAACGCGCGGCUGAUGUCACGACCAGCUUCCUGCAAGCCUCCCUGGUGAACGGAAACAGUCGCCAAGUCAGAAGCAAAAACUGUCUGCUCCCGAAUGAUUCCAAACGUUUGGAGUUUCCUCAGUGGCAGGCCAGAGAGAGAAAAAGGACAGAGGAAUGCAGGACCGAGAGGCCAGUCAGGAGAGGACAGCUGGAUGUGUUUAAGCAUGGAACUGCAGAAAUUUGAGGAAAAGUCCACUGCAGCCAAGAGGUACAUGUCAGGCCACGCCCUCGUCAUCUGCUCCAGCUCUGUUGCUGUUCUGUGCUGGUGUGGUCAGCUGACUUGGCCGUGGCCGGGAUUUGAAUGACCCACAUUUCUCAAACGAGCAGGGAAAAGGCAUGUCAUGUUGAAUAGGCUGGGACCAAAGACAGGCCCUGCGAGAAGAGACAUCAGUCUGUGCGCUGAAACUGAGCCCUGCAUACCACACAUGCUUUAGGGGCACAAUAGCCCUCUUUACAACAUGCAGUAAAAAUUGCCUGGAAGAAUUGC